rnacentral:snRNA from 1 species
AUAUAUAUGAAAGUUGACGAAGU